UGGGGAAUAUUGCACAAUGGGGGAAACCCUGAUGCAGCAACGCCGCGUGAGUGAUGACGGCCUUCGGGUUGUAAAGCUCUGUCUUCAGGGACGAUAAUGACGGUACCUGAUGAGGAAGCCACGGCUAACUACGUGCCAGCAGCCGCGGUAAUACGUAGGUGGCGAGCGUUGUCCGGAUUUACUGGGCGUAAAGGGAGCGUAGGCGGAUUUUUAAGUGAGAUGUGAAAUACUCGGGCUUAACCUGAGUGCUGCAUUUCAAACUGGAAGUCUAGAGUGCAGGAGAGGAGAAGGGAAUUCCUAGUGUAGCGGUGAAAUGCGUAGAGAUUAGGAAGAACACCAGUGGCGAAGGCGCUUCUCUGGACUGUAACUGACGCUGAGGCUCGAAAGCGUGGGGAGCAAACAGG
rnacentral:rRNA from 1 species